rnacentral:rRNA from 1 species
UACAGGGGGUGCAAACGUUGCUCGGAAUCAUUGGGCGUAAAGCGCACGUAGGCGGUUCGUUAUGUCGGAUGUGAAAGCCCUUGGCUUAACCGAGGAAGUGCAUCCGAAACUGGCGAGCUAGAGUACUAAAGAGGAUCGCGGAAUUCCCGGUGUAGCAGUGAAAUGCGUAGAGAUCGGGAGGAACAUCUGUGGCGAAGGCGGCCACCUGGACCAACACUGACACUGAGGCACGAAAGCGUGGGGAGCAAACAGG